ACAAUCCCAAUACCAUCUAUCACUAUAAAACCACAGAGUAGCGGCAGCCUUCAUCAGAGCUGCUCCUAGCUAAGAAAGGUGCAGCCUUGGUUUUCCUUCCAUCUUGGAGAUCAGGAGACCCUCACCCUUUCGUCCUGACUGUCACAGGCUUGAAGCCUCAGCCUCAGCCUUGCCUCGCCUCACCAAGUGUGUGGACCACAGAAUUAGAAACUCUAAGAGAAAUGUCAGGACACCAAAUACAGUCAGACUUGUACCAACUGAUGCUGAAUGAAGAAAACAGAAUCCAGAGAAUACACGCAAUUACUACAAGGAAUGAAACCGCCAUCAUGGCCACUUCCUCCAUGAUCCCAUCUUCAGAAUAUGAAGUCCCAUCCCAUAGAAAGUUGACAACCAUCAUCUACAUUUCCUCAGUCCUCUGUAUUCUCCUCCUGGCAACACUAUUUCUGUUUCUGGGACAGAGGCUGCUGGAUAAGCGCAAGUGCUCUGGUACCUACCGGCCCAGUGAUGAAGAGCAGGUAGGGGACUGUAUCCCAAGACAAUCCGGGAAGGAGCCCCCGAAGGAACGGCUCAUUUGAGCCCCCACCUCUACUCCCAUGCCUGUUUCUUGGGGGCCUGCCCACUGUGACAGCCCCCCUCAGUGGGCAUCUGGACUGACAAACAGGGCCCCAGAUGUCUAGAUCUAGAAGAGAGGGAGCAGAGCACUGAGGAGUGUGAUUUAAGCUGCCAACCACCUUCACCACCCUGCUAUGGCUAUGAUUUUUUGAUGACCUGUCGACCUUGGCCUGGGGUUGGCAGCUGUUCCUUCCUGGGCCUAGCAUCCUUCUUGUUUGCAACUCCUAUGCCCUCUAUUGUCAAAUAGUUCUCCUACCCUUCCAAUAUGGCCUCCCUGCCUUUCAGUUGUCUCUUGGCUAAGGCUCCGGACCCCCAGGAUUCCAAGGAUUACUCCUGGAGCUGAGUGCCCUAUUGGGGUUUGAGCUGGCACAAGGAGCCCAUGACUCCUCACCCCCAGAGGGGGAAAGGGCAGAGAUCUUGGUGCAAGUCAGCCCCAAGCCCUAGGUCAUAUUUUACAGCCUCCUUCCUUCCCUAAGCUUUGAGGCCACUCACUCUUUCUGAACCUCUGAAGUUAGGAGAAUAGUUAGUUCUUUAAGCUCCUAAAAUAAAUGCUGAGAAAUCUAUUCUACUGCCCUGAUGGACAACCUCCCUCCUCAGGGAGGCAGGACCUCCCUGCCCCAUAUCUCUUCCCCAUCACCCUUACCUCCUCUCCUCUCUUUUCUAACUCUCUAAGGGAAGAGCAGCUUCAUUUUUUGUAUAAAGAUGGUCUGAACAUUGGCAGGAAGCUGGAGAAAAAGACAAGUCUCCGGCGUACCCCCCCUUAGAGCAGGCGGGCCUGAGGAGUGGAGGGAAGUGUGGGCUGCCCAAGGGACACAGUCUAAAACUACGGCUGAGGACUUAAGAUUCAUCUUUGGGGCAAAGGGUUGCUCAUUCAAAAGUCCGCCUUGUUUUCCUCUUUUUAAUAAAGCUUUCCUCUAUA